CUCAUGCCUGUAAUCCCAGCACUUUGGGAGGCCAAGGCGGGCGGAUCGCCUAAGGUCAGGAGUUUGAGACCAGCCUGGCCAACAUGGUGAAACCCCAUCUCUACUAAAAAUACAAGAAUUAGCCGGGCGUCGUGGUGUGUGCCUGUAAUCCCAGCUACCCAGCAUGCUGAAGCAGGAGAAUUGCGGGAACCCAGGAGGCAGAGGCUGCAGUGAGCUGAGAUCGCACCACUGCACUCCAGCCUGGGUGACAGAACAAGACUCCAUCUCAAUAAAAACAACAACAACAACAAAAAACCCACCACCACCAACAGCAACCAAAAAAAAACAACUCUUUGCAGCUGAAAUCAAGACAUGACUGAGGAGAACUCAAAAAACCUAGACUUGAGAACCAUUGGACUAGAUGAUCUGAAGCUAUCUCCGUCUCCAAAUGGGAGUUCAAGCAUGACGGACAGGUCUUGUUUCAAGAUCUCCAGAUCUCUCUCUGCUUAUCAAGGUCAGUGCCCUUUUGCUGACACACAAGCUCCUGAACUUCCCUUCCUCAGACUACACCUCCCUGAAUUACAACUCCUUCUGUAGGUUGUCUUGGAUAAAGUUCUCAUUUCAACAAGCAACCUAAGAGCAAAAAAUAUUAUCAAUGAUCUCCAAGGGGCCACAGAUUUUACGGCUAAGAGGCACUUGAUAUCAUCUAGCUCUGUGAGUCCCAAGUCUGGGGAUUUUAUGGUCCAGUAAGUUAAAAAAACAAACAACUUUGGGGUAAUUAUAAGGUUGC
rnacentral:lncRNA from 1 species